GACGAACCGUGCGAACGUUAUUCGGAAUCACUGGGCUUAAAGCGCGUGUAGGCGGGACGGCACGUCGGUCGCUGAAAUCCCCCGGCUUAACCGGGGAACUGGCGUCGAUACGACCGCCCUGGAGGGGCGUAGGGGGACCUGGAACUUCCGGUGGAGCGGUGAAAUGCGUUGAGAUCGGAAGGAACACCAAUGGCGAAGGCAGCUCGCUGGGACGUGACUGACGCUGAGACGCGAAAGCGUGGGGAGCAAACAGG
rnacentral:rRNA from 1 species